ACUUCACGAAUUGAAAGGAAAAUACCUUUGUCUUCUUUCUCUUUACUUCUGCAAACCCUAGUUCUUUGAUAAUUGUGUUUUUUAUUUUAUGAGUAGAGGAGAACACACAUGCAUAGAUUGAAGAUGAAGGUGAAGAAGAAGAGCACCGGAUGUAAGUGGUUUGGCCAAAAUAUCUACAUCCAUGGGAAGGAUCACUUUCUUGAAUGACCUUGAGAUGAGUAUAGUAUUUUAGUUUUCUUUUUCUUUUACUUUCUGUAUCCAAAUGUAAAAGAAGGAAACUGAUAUUUUUGUUAUAAACCUUUAUAUAGAGGUGUUUACAUAAAAGAAAAAAUAAUAGAAAACAAAACUAACUUCUCAUGUUAGAAUUCAACUAUUACAAAUAAUCUCCAUGUUGAAUCCAAUUUUUAUGGGUUCAACCAUAUUUCCAUCUUCUGACUUUAUCAUCUUUUUUCAGGUAUGUCAAAGUCUAUUAGCUCGAAGUAUUUUUGGAGCUUCAUUUUUGUAACAGACUUGGUGAGAGCAUGUCGGUAGCAUUUUCAGAGGUGUAAAUCAAAUGGAGAACAAAUUGAAUGAAGACUAGGUAGAGAAGAAGCCACAUCGACUUUGAUAAUGAUCAUACACGUGGAGGAGGAUGAGAGGAGAAUACACAUGCAUGAAGGAGAAGAAGAAGAACACUAGAUGUACGCGUGGUUCGGCCAAAAUGCCUACAUCCAUGGGAAAUGAUCACUUUCUUGAAUAACCUUGAGAUGAGUACAAUAUUUUAGUUUCAUUUUUCUUUUUCUUUGUGUAUCCAAAUGUAAAAGAAGUAAACUAUCUAUUUUCGUAAUAGUUUACAUAAAAAGAAAAAAUAAUAGAAAACAAAAAUAACUUCUCAUGUUGAAAUUCAA